AUUGAACGCUGGCGGAAUGCUUUACACAUGCAAGUCGAGCGGCAGCACGGGGGCAACCCUGGUGGCGAGCGGCGUACGGGUGAGUAAUACAUCGGAACAUGCCCAGUCGUGGGGGAUAACACUUCGAAAGAAGUGCUAAUACCGCAUACGUCCUGAGGGAGAAAGCGGGGGAUCUUCGGACCUCGCGCGAUUGGAGUGGCCGAUGUCAGAUUAGCUAGUUGGUGGGGUAAAGGCCUACCAAGGCAACGAUCUGUAGCUGGUCUGAGAGGAUGAUCAGCCACACUGGGACUGAGACACGGCCAGACUCCUACGGGAGGGAGCAGUGGGGAAUUUUGGACAAUGGGGGCAACCCUGAUCCAGCCAUUCCGCGUGAGUGAAGAAGGCCUUCGGGUUGUAAAGCUCUUUCGGCAGGAACGAAACGGCGAGCUCUAACAUAGCUUGCUAAUGACGGUACCUGAAGAAGAAGCACCGGCUAACUACGUGCCAGCCGCCGCGGUAACAC
rnacentral:rRNA from 1 species